GCUAGAACAAACAUGAAUUAUUUGAACUUUUGAUUGAAACAGUCAGAUUUGCCUGUUUCAUUUAAAAGUUAAGACUGCCAAGUAAUGCUACUCUUUGACAACUUUUUGCCACUUUCCAAAAGAUGCUAUGGAACAAUUACAGGAAUGGUAUUCCAACAUUAGAAUUUUUCCUAUAAAUUGUAAUAGAUGAAAAUAAUAUUGGAGAAAGGAAAUCAGUGGACCAGGUGAAUCUGAGACCUGUGGACAUUCAUUUACUUGUUCAGAAGGUGUAAAAACAUUUGAGAUUAUGCAACUUUUAAGGAUUGAGUUUAGCCUAUUAUUGAUUUAUAUGAUAUGUGGCAUAUCCUAUGCGAACGAUGUCAUGAGAAGAAUAUGUGCUGUGAGAUGGUUGUCAUGGCAUAAUGAGUUUUCCGGUCAUUCGUUUUUGCGUACGUUCAGAUGGUUUCCAGCAAGAAGCAUCUUUAUCUGUCGAACUUAAAGUUCUCAAAUGCUCUUUACAUAUAUAUUUAUAUCUAUAUAUUUAUUUAUUUCUUUUUCUUUACUCUUGUUCAUACGGUGACAUUUUAUGAAGAGAUUCCGAUGGGGAAAAUCAAAUCAAGCCGUAUACUGGAAAAAUCAGCAACUCUCAAUCCAUUAGAUGACCGUCGGCUGCUUCGGUUUUGCCCGGCGUCGAUUUAUCAUGGUGACCAUAAUGGACAUUACUCUUACUGGACAUUUUCUGUUGAUUCACGAACUGUUAAGUUAAUCUGGGGCUUCUUCAUUCGGCUCCUGGUUGCGACUGGCAUCAGUGACUACAAUGUCUUCGUCCGGAUUCUCAGAAAGUUCUCCUGUCUGAGACCAUCCAUUGUUAUACCCGGAUCACAGUGUAUGAACACAUCGCGUCCGGCUGCAGUGACCAGGGCGGGCUGAAAUUGGUGACAACACGUAUAUACCAGGUAAACUCAUCCAAUUCGAAAGAUUUCGGAAAAACCUUUGUAGAAAAGUGUUGUCUAAAUUUGGCCGCAACGCAUUCAGGAAUGGAGCUUAACGUUUUGCAUAGAUGAAGAACAGAAUAAGAAAGAAUCAAAACAAGAACUGCAUACAACUACAGCAAAAAGAUUGGAAAAACUUGCGUAAUGUACCAGGUCACCAAUAGGUGUCAGGGGUGUCUGGUGUCGCCACUUUUGUCGCCACUUGUGUCGGUGAAAGAAAACGCAUCCCUUUUUGGCCGAAAAUGCGACGGGCCUGUUCCGGUUUAUCGAUGAAGACUGUGUUGAGUUGGAAGUUGGAACUGAGUUACUCAUCUCCACAAGGAAAGUACACACGAAAACCAUUGAUACUUAACAUCCAUCACAUUGAAAAAUCCUCGAAUGAAUUUUACUUUAUUCCGUGCUAGUUGACAGUUGAUACCAGAGAUUUGGGAACAACAAAGGUUACUGUUACACUGUUAAGUUUAGGAAACUUUUCAGCCACUUCUCUGGGAAUGUCGAUAGAAAUGGUAUACAGUAAAAUCAUGUUAAUGAUGAAACAAGAGGGCAUAGCCUGGAAGAGCUGCAACUGCUGUAGCUCAGAUGUCAGCAGAUUUGUAAAUCGGCUGUAUCUGCUGUGGGAAAUAAGACUACUGAGGUUGCAUAGAUGUUACUGAGAUGAGCUUCAUCUAAAUGCUGGCAAAGCUUAUCUGUCAAAUAGAAACAGAAUAAACAGGAAUAGGUUGAAAUUGAGCCCGAAAUACCCACAUUGUGAUGAAUUAUUGCAUAUUAACAUGCAGAUAACUGUAACAAGUGUGACUCUUGUUGAGAAAAGGAUUGAAACAAUAGCGGACGAAAAGGAAACUGCUUUAAAACCGGUUUUGAAUGACACCAGCUAUUCCGAUGACGAUGUUUGGGAACCGAGCAUUUGAAAAGAAAAAACCCGUAUUCCAGUUACUAAGCCUUCACGACAUUCGACAAACAAAAAGGAAAAGGCUAAAGUAAGACAUCGUCCCUUUGCUGCUUUGGGGGACCACCGUCGCCAAAAGAGAAAUCACUUCAUCUAUAGAUUUGGUAGGUGAAAAGCCAAAUAGAUAAAUUUCUUGCACGGAGUAAGCAACAGGUAGGUCGUAUCUAGGUAGGUCGUGCAGGCAAAGAUAAAUAGUCAAAUUUAAUUAAAUAGCCUUCAUUUGUGCUGAAGAACCGUUCAUGGAAGCUGAUUUCGAUGAGACGCAAGUGCUGAUUCGUCUGAUGGUCGAUUAUGCCAACAUGGCAGCCAAGAAACAUGCCUUGCUCAAUCGGAUUGAAAUCGUGACAUCGGAAAAAGGAGUCUUCUUCUGGAAGAACUGUCCAGUCGCAACCAGUAUGUUGCCACGCUACUGCCUAUUCGCGCUGGAGCUUGCCGAACUUAAAGCUAUUGCGUAGCACUGAGCUAUUUAUUAGUUAUAGCUUUGGCAUUAUGAAGAGUGUUGUUCAUCUAUUUGUUCUUGUUUUUUUUUUUUUCCUGAAAUUGAAUAUUCACAAAAUUUUGUAUGUUUGUAAAUGGGUAAAAUCUAUUCAGAUUGGUAUCAUGAAGUAUGACUGUAGGAAAGGGUACAUAGGCUUCUAAAAGUGAAGAACAGCUCUGAUGUCUUUGGUAAGCGGAAAAUGAACUGCAUUUUGAAGCUUCAGAUGACGGUUUUAAGACUCUUUCGUUUGCUUUGCCCAAUGAAUCUGUACUUGGAACUGGCAGGUGGCGUUAUUCUUAAAACCCAGAGGUGUUUUUCAUUUUUCAGGGGGAUUGAUUGAUGAUUCUUGUUGGUUAGACCAUGAAGAAAACCAAUACAUGGAUAAGUGGAGGAUUAUAACAGCAAAAAACUGUAAUUCCUCAUGGCAUUUUCAUUCACGCAUGCGUGGUAGUUCGUGAGCAGACGAACCAUUGAAAGAACCUUGUGCAGUCUAGCUGCAUCCAGCCAGAUACCAGUAGAACCCGAAACAUUGUUUUGACAAGUACUGCCAUAUUUCGGUUGCAGGUUUUCACUAAAUACCAAGUAAGUUACGGGUUUAAUCAUGAUGAAUGUAUGAUUUUUCGAUUCAAAUCUAUUUAGGUGUCAGAACUGAAAUUGUACUUUUAAAACACUGCAUAACUUUUAUUAACAAUAGUUUACUUUUACAACUAUCAAAAUCUUGUUAACCACUUAAAGGAGAACAAAGCUAAUUUUUUUAGAUUUCCUGAAUUUCAACUUUCGCUUUUAAAGUGCCAAAUAACUCCUUAUUUGUUGGUCUGUCAGAAAAAAGAUUCACAUUUUCGUGAUCCUCAUCAAAUUUGGGGUCGAAUCCAUGGAUCAGCUCCACUCCAAAUACCCGAAAGUCGUCAAAAAUCGCAAAUUUUCCUGAACAUGUUCAUGAAAAAUCUCGACUUUUGGCUAAAAACACGUCAUUCCAAUCCCAAAUUUGAUAAGGAUCAUGGCAAUUCUACUCUCUUUGUUAUAGAAUCACUAUUUCCGGAGAUAUGGGCUACUUCCGGUUACUUCAGGGAAAUUUUCGUGACGAUAUGCAAAAAGUAAAAAAUGAGCUGUAUUAUUCUAACAAUUUCAAAUGUUUUUCUUGCAUGCGUUAGGGUGUUGCAACUUUUAUUCCGUGUUAUUCUUGCUAUCAAUAGUACAGACUUACCCUACGAUCAACGACAGUUUUCGCUACAACCGCCUCGUCUUGCAACUAGUAGUUGAUAUUCUAGGUUUAAUGUUUAAAAUUGGAAUCAACUGUCUAAGGCGGAAAAACUAGAUGGCGUUGACGUUCGUGUAUGAUAAAUAUUACGAGUGACAAGUCAAAUGGGUGUUUGUUACGUUUCUACCCUGUUUAGUGUUUCAAAGGAUUUUUCGUCAAAAAUUUAGCGAGUUUCGCCUUGUCAGCUGCUGAACCAGUAGCCUGCAUUCCUGCUAUCAAUGUACCACAAGGGAUGCUGACACUUAAAAAAUACAAACAGUGACCACUAUACCCGAGACAUGAACAUCACCAUCCUGUUAAGAGUCUUCGUCUACUAUGUGUUAUGAACCAUCUGUCCUUAGCAUCCAAUGUUUCCAGAUUUUAAAGCUUCUCUGCUUAGCCAACCAUUCUCCAUACACUUCAGCUCUUCAUUGUGGCUUCUCUUCCUCUCUUCUUAGCCUGAUGAAUGCCAACAGGCAUAAAGGUUCAUCUCCAUUGCCUUACCAUGGAAUGGAACUUAUCGUUGUUAAUCCUGCUGCCAAAUCGUCUUCCCGUACGAGUCAUGCAGUUUUAGAUUCCUUAUGGAAUUUCCUUGCAACAUCCACCCAGGCUGAAAAGGGCAUCCUACCAGUUGUUUGGACCAUACCUGCCUCUCCUCGCCGUCUUCGCCCCGCCUUCCUCGCUCAACCGUCUUCGCUUUGCCUUCUUCAAGUUGAUCGUCUUUGCCUCGCCGUCUUCGACUCAUCGUCAUUGCCGCAUCGUUUUUGCUCCCGCCCGGCUUCUCCUCAUCGCCGUCAUCGUGGAACCUCGCGUUUUUGGUAGUUUGUUUUGUUUUGUAUUGUUGUAUGACUAUGUUUAAAGUUAACCCGUUGGCUGCCACCCAUUUUGCUCCCCUUUUUUUUUUAGUUGUAGGGACCGGCGGCGCUGUUCUGCCCCAUGGUUGAUCACCCAUGGGGUGGGACAGUCGCCUUGCGCCUUAGGGCGCCGUAGGCAAUGCACCAGUAGGGACUUCCCUUUGUCGAUGCGAUGAUGGAGUACCUGGGGUGUGCAUUCCCGUAAAGGUCUCCAUCGUCAAGUCAGCCCGGACUUGUCUUCGGACAAGUCCCCCUUUCAUCGGAUCCCUCUGAAACGAUGCGUAGUUAUUGUAGAAGAACAACCUAUGGGUUGUAAUGGCUUGGCAGCCAACGGGUUAACUUAAGUGUUUAUUUUUGUAUGCAUGUAUGUAUUGUAUUUAUUGUAUAACAUGUGAUGUAAAACUGUGGUGGAAUUGUGGGUGGAGGUGGGAUAAUACAUAACCAAUUCCAUUUA